UACGAAGGGGGCUAGCGUUGCUCGGAAUCACUGGGCGUAAAGGGCGCGUAGGCGGCGCGGUAAGUCACUUGUGAAAUCUCUGAGCUUAACUCAGAACGGCCAAGUGAUACUGCAGUGCUAGAGUGCAGAAAGGGCAAUCGGAAUUCUUAGUGUAGCGGUGAAAUGCGUAGAUAUCAGGAAGAACACCCGUGGCGAAGGCGGUUCUCUGGGACGGUACUGACGCUGAGACGCGAAAGCGUGGGGAGCGAACAGG
rnacentral:rRNA from 1 species